rnacentral:rRNA from 1 species
UACAGAGGGGGCAAGCGUUGUUCGGAAUUACUGGGCGUAAAGGGCGCGUAGGCGGCCCGCUAAGUCGAACGUGAAAUCCCCGAGCUCAACUCGGGAACUGCGUCCGAUACUGGCGGGCUUGAAUCCGGGAGAGGGAUGCGGAAUUCCAGGUGUAGCGGUGAAAUGACGUAGAUAUCUGCAGGAACACCCGUGGCGAAAGCGGCGCGCUGGACCACUACUGACGCUGAAGAACGAAAGCUAGGGGAGCAAACAGG